rnacentral:rRNA from 1 species
UUUAAUUGAAGAGUUUGAUCAUGGCUCAGAUUGAACGCUGGCGGCAGGCCUAACACAUGCAAGUCGAGCGGCAGCACAAG